UCCUGGUUCUGAGUCCACAUGGAAGAUGAUCCAUGAAAGGGUAUGCAGUCUUCUGACAUUCCACAGAGCUCAGCAGCACCCAGACAAGAAAGAUUCUACAUCUGAAUUAAAUUAUAUCCUCCAAAGACCAAGCUACCCUCUGAAGAAAUACCCACUGCAUGAACAGAGAUAUUUUUAAGCCGAUGUCUUAUGGGAAAAUGAAAGAAAGCUGAAGGGAGGAUCAUGAAGAACUCACUCACUGAGACAACUGACGCAUCCUUAGAGAAAUGAAGAACAGUUUUUGUUGUCUGUAUUGAGUUACUGGUGUCUAAUCCCCUUUAAAUCAAACCCUGUACUCAGACUUUUUUGGUACCCAGGUAAGAGUUAUUGAUUAAAGCGUUUGCUGUUUGGGGCUCACAUUUUCAUGUCAACCUGGCAAAUUUGCGUUUUCAUUUGUGUUUGUUUUGAGCAUGAAAUAGAAAAUAACAAUAGUUGGGUAGCAGGUGCUUUCCCACUUGGAAAGUACUUAGAACUCUAACAAAAAUGUUAAGAUGCCUUUUCAGGUGUUCUUCAUUUUUGGCAGUGGAUGUGUUUCUGAAAAGUUCUUUCUUCCUUCCUUCUUCCUGCUUUCUUCCUCUCUGUCUCUCCCCCAUCACCACCCCCCACCAACUCAACUUAAAUCUUAUACGAGUUAGAGGACGUUGGUAUUUAGAGGAAUAACCGAAUAAAUCCUCCAGGAAAACUGUGAACCUGA